CCCGCAUCCCGAAAACCUGCAACAUUAAUUUCCCACUCUAAAUUUCCCCUAGGUGUGAUUGUGAGUGCGGCUGUUUGCUCUAUGUACCCUGCAAUUGGCUGUAAAGGAAUAUAAGAGUUUGAGCUUAAAGUAGUUCAUUAGAUGUUGCUACAUCCUGUGUAUGAAAGUGUGAGACUGUAAAGUGCUGAGUGUGUGACUGGUGGAACGAAACAGGGUAUGUGGUGCAAGAAUGUGCAAGAAGGGAAUGUUUUAGAACAGACGGUGCUAACUGCAAGGAUGAUGCAGAGACGAGAGGACUCAGAGGCAGUUGGUGGAAAAACUACUGUCAGGAAACCAGCACCAGGAGGAGCCAGCACGCGAUUCUGCAGGGGAGGAGUCGGGCCAACAUCCGGCGGACCAAAGGAGACCAAUGAGAGAGCGCCAAGGAUACCAGCAGGAGACACAGAACCAAUAGUGAAUUAGUAGAUUGUACUUUAAAAUUGUUCUGGGCAACUCGGAUGUAGAGUACGUCGGCUGCAGGGAACAGAGACGUGCAGGGUUGUAAUGAGAGGGACCCGAGACCCAGGAACUUUCAACAAGAACGCUCCUGUGAAAUCGGCAUCAUGAAAGAAGCAUCUUUAGCUGGGUCAUUAACAAUAUGAACUGCGCCUAAUGGGAGUCAUACUUCAAGUUUGGAGAGCAGCUGAAUUGACCAAGAUUGUAGAACUGACCCAAUUAUACCUCAGCUUUGAGGUAAGAAACAAAACCAAUUCCGAAACAAUCUAAAAUGUCAUUAUAUUCUUGAAAGUAUGCAUAAGUCCUGUUGAAUAAACAGGUGUAAUUUUAUCGGAGUACUUCUGUGCUCAUGGUAAUUACAAUUUACAAGCGCACAAUGGCUCUCAGCCACAGAUAAAAGUUCUUCUCGGGAGAGAUGCUUAUCCCAUCAGCUCCACACCCAACUGAAUUUCUCUGCUGCCUGCAUCUUAAUAAAAGGGACACAGAUAGCCGUGGGAGUUUGGAAUCCUCUAGCCUCAUCAUUAGUCUUCAGGAUCUGCCACGCAUGGACACCAAAGAGACUCAAACUUCAGCCUCAGAUUCAGCAGUUCAAUUCUUCUUGUGAAAAGGAAUUGGGACUUAGUCAUCUUUUUCAAGAACAAAAAGUGGGAAACUGCACAAGUGGACAGAUAUUUUGUGACAAAGUGCCCAUUCAAAAAAAAGGCUUGAAUUUAUACCGUCAUCUUACCAAAGGAUUCUAGUCAUUUAUGUGCUUCCACCUUUGUGGGGACAGUAUGGAUCAGGCCUUUUUUUUUUCUUUUUUUUUGCAUUAAGCAAAUUCCAUAAAGGAAUGUUCAUUCGAUUGUGGUGUUGAAGAACUUGAGAGCCCUAACCUCAACCCCAACCAACAUCUCCAAAUUGGACCUACCAGGACCCAUUCAUCACAAAUGUUGUUUUGAAAAGUUAGGGUUCCACUGGUCGCAUGAACAGGUUUGAGUCAUUGACUAAUAAUCUGUGUGUUUAUUGUUUAGGUUGCUGCUUUCUGCUCAGUAUUUUGUCAAGUCGUAAUCCUAUGUGGGGUCUCUGUUCCUUGUAUAUUUAAUUACCGAUUUACUCAUUUUCCUAUUUUGCUUUGUACAUUUUUGGAAAUUUAAAUAGCUUCAUAUUUUGUAUUCUAAGCACUUGUUCUUUUUUUUUUUUUACUUUGCCUGCCUGCAUGCAUCUAUUCCGUGUCCCGCAUUAUGUGUUGUGACAAACUCUUAAUCUUGCAGCAGUCAUGUUGUUGCUUUUAGAAUACAAUCAGAAUUGAUUCAAAUCAAAAAAGUCAGAUGAAACGCAUGGUUGUAUAUAAUUAUACAUAUUAUUUUCUAUGCAGAACUGAAAUAAAAGUUAUGCAUCAUGCUACUGAACCUAUGAUUUCAGCUCUACUAUGGCUACGAAAAAUAAUUAACGUCCCUAAACCUUCGUGGAUAUUGAGACUAACCAUUAUCUUUAUCAUGGUUGAAGUCAGGAAUACCAGUGGAUUUUGAUGUGUGAACACUUAAAAAUACAACAGUAUUCAUAUUAAAUGAAAUCCCAUCACUACUGUGCAUUAACAUAAACACGACCGAAUGGGUCAACUCAGGUGCAUGGGCCUUGCUUUAGCAGAUGUUCAGGAUAAAUCAUAAAUAAAUCAU